AAAAGGUUAUAAUUUAGUUUCGUGCUUGGAAUGCAAAGAGCAGAACAAUUUGCGGUAGGGUUGAUGGUUCCGCCUCUUGGAUUUCAGUUCACUUGGUAUGUCCCAUAGCGCUGAUCAACAACUUCAGCGGGCUCGGGCGAGGAGCGUCCUGGGAAAUGUAGUUAAUAGGCGUACUUGCCGCGCUGUAGCCUGCUGCCCUCAGAGGAGAGGGGACUCCAUUUCCCGAGGUUCCUCGGACACUGGGAGUGCUGAGGGCCUCCGUGGCGUCGGGACCCGGGCGAACCGGGGGUGGGGGCUCCGAGGCUGAGGCUUUUCGGCCGGCCUUGGGGGAGCGUCCGUGCGGCCUGAUCCAGACCAUGUCUGCGUGAAGACGCCGCUGCAGCCGUCCCCGACCCAUCCCGGUCCGGGUCCGACCUACCCCGCUGCGCACCAUGGGCUCCAUCCUGAGCCGCCGCAUCGCGGGUGUGGAGGACAUCGACAUUCAGGCGAACUCGGCCUAUCGCUACCCUCCGAAGUCCGGAAACUACUUCGCUUCACACUUUUUCAUGGGAGGUGAGAAAUUUGACACCCCCCACCCUGAAGGUUACCUCUUUGGAGAAAACAUGGAUCUGAACUUCCUGGGCAAUCGCCCAGUCCAGUUUCCUUAUGUCACCCCUGCCCCCCAUGAGCCGGUGAAGACGCUGAGGAGCCUGGUGAACAUCCGAAAAGACUCACUCCGGCUUGUGAGGUACAAAGAUGGUGCUGACAGCCCCACUGAGGACAGCGAGAAGCCCCGUGUCCUGUACAGCCUGGAGUUCACCUUCGAUGCUGAUGCCCGGGUGGCCAUCACUAUCUACUGCCAGGCGGUGGAGGAAUUUCUAAAUGGGAUGGCUGUGUACAGCCCCAAAAGCCCUGCCCUGCAGUCCGAGACCAUCCACUAUAAGAGAGGGGUGAGCCAGCAGUUCUCCCUGCCCUCCUUCAAGAUCGACUUCUCAGAGUGGAAGGAUGAUGAGUUGAACUUUGACCUGGACCGGGGAGUGUUUCCAGUGGUCAUCCAGGCCAUGGUGGAUGAAGGAGAUGUUGUGGAAGUGACUGGCCAUGCCCAUGUGCUGUUGGCUGCCUUUGAAAAGCACGUCGACGGUAGCUUCUCUGUGAAGCCGUUAAAGCAGAAGCAAAUUGUAGACCGGGUCAGCUACCUGUUACAGGAGAUCUAUGGCAUUGAGAAUAAGAACAACCAGGAGACGAAGCCUUCGGACGAGGAGAACAGUGACAACAGCAAUGAGUGCGUGGUGUGCCUGUCAGACCUGCGGGACACGCUGAUCCUGCCCUGCCGCCACCUGUGCCUGUGCAACUCCUGUGCCGACACGCUGCGCUACCAGGCCAGCAACUGCCCCAUCUGCCGGCUGCCCUUCCGGGCCCUUCUGCAGAUCCGGGCAGUGAGGAAGAAGCCAGGAGCCCUGUCCCCUGUCUCCUUCAGCCCUGUUCUGGCCCAGAGCAUGGACCAUGAUGAGCACUCUUGUCCCUUUAAAAAACCAAAGUCGCACCCUGCCUCACUGGCCAGCAAGAAACCUAAAAGGGAAACUAGCACCGACAGCAUCCCGCCCGGCUACGAGCCCAUCUCCCUGCUUGAGGCGCUCAACGGCCUUCGAGCCCUCUCCCCGGCCCUCCCCUCGGCUCCCCUUUAUGAAGAGAUCACCUACUCGGGCGUCUCAGAUGGCCUAUCCCAGGCCAACUGUCCACUUGCUGGACUUGAUCGAAUCUUGGAAAGCAGCCACCAGAAGGGCAAGUCAAGGAGCAAAUCCCCUGACAGCACCCUGCGGUCCCCAUCAUCCCCCAUCCAUGAAGAGGAUGAGGAGAAGCUCUCCCAGAACUCGGACGCCCCUCCCUUGCUGAGUGGGGCUGGGCUGGUGCUGAGCAGCUCCCCAGAGAGUUUCCUCACGGAGGAGGUCGAUGAGAGGUCGUCGUUAAAGCAAGGGAGCCGUGUGCCCUCCAUUGAGAACGUCCUACAGGAUGGCAGCCUCGAUCCCUGUGGCUGCUGCCAGCCUGGUCCACCUACUGACAUCUACCUUCCAGCCCGGGGGCCGGACUCCUGCUCUGUCGGCAUAGAGGAGUAAGCUGAAACUUCUGGAACACCAGCACACUCUGAUGUCAAUCUGUGCGGAAGUGCUGAGACUAACUCCCAACCUGACAGGGAGACGCCCUCUACCUGCGACCUGGAUGCUUUAUAGAAGGCAGUUCCAAAAGCACCGCCAAGAAACAACCCAUUUGUGUUGGGGACCCCUCCCCCUCCUUCACAUGACAUUUGUGGUUCUGGGAGGUCUGGUGGAUGGUCCACUUCCAUGGAGAUGCCCUGAAGCCUCCUCACCACUGGCUCCACCCGGCCUCUGCUUGGUGGCCUUAAUUGUGACAUCGGGGCCACUGACCUGACUCCACUCUGAGAGCCUGGCCAGGCUGGCAGCAUGGAGCCCUCAGCUUCCCAGACUUUGCUGAGGAGCUGUCCGGACCCCAGUGAGAUUCCUGGCCUCUCCUGUGUGCACACCCAUCACAGCCGCAGCUCUGAAGGGCCCUGUACCUCCUUGACUGAAGAGCACAGUGGACUGUUCCCUCUGACAAACCUUUUUUUUUUGUGGUCUCCAUAUUUGUAAAUGGUACAGGAUGAAGGACGGCGCCUUUCUGUCUCAGGCACUGAGCUCUGGAGUUCCCCCAGUUGCCUUGUCAGCUGAGUAGCUGGGGCUGGGUGCUAGCCGCCCACAUGUCCCGGAUCGGCUUUAUCCAGCCCCCCAGCCAGUGGGGGGUUAACACCCUGAGAACUCGACAAAUUGGUGGGUGAAGUACUGUCUUCACAGGAAGUAUUACUGGGGUGCUUGUUGUCAGGGAAGGAAAGGAAGUGGGGUCUGAGUCACGGUCAAUGAAGGAAAUGGUGCCUGUCCCCUACCCCAUGUGCGUGGCCUGGCUGGCACUACUGCUUUGUGCCCUGUGUUACUUCCCCUUCCUGUUCAGGCCCUUUGGUGUGGGUCUGCCUCCGAUAGCUCACAGCCCUUCCCUGCAGCCCUGCCCUCUGGGCCACCCAGGUUUCUGCACUCCGGCCAGGUCUGAGUCUGUCUAGGGCAGAGGUGCAGGUACACAGCCUAUUAGCAGUUGGUCUAGUGGCCCCUCUCCAAGCCCUGCACCUUCUCAGAGGUGGCUUUGCACAUAUCCUCAGACCUCCUUCAGGUGGAGGGCCUUAUUCGGCCAGACCACCCACCCCUGGAGGGACUCGAGCAACUUUUCUGCUCCCUCUGUGCCAUUUAAAUGUCACUUUGUGUUUCUCUUUGAUUUGUUUGGUCUGGGACUCCUGUGGUGGGACCUGCUUGGGGGAGUUGGCCUCAUUUUUUUUAAACGAUAAGUUACCCACACAACAAAAAGGCAGAGGGGGUACCCAACUCGGGUGCAGCAGGGCACAAGCUGCCUCAGCCAGGGACCUUGGCCUGGUGUGUGAGUGGGUCUGUGCAGCUCCCCACCCUGGGAUUGGGGUUUGCAGAGGAGCUCACUUUCUGAGGAGCUGCUCUGGGAAGCAUGAUGGUUCUGGUUCUGGGGUGGCCAGCAGCUGUCCACAGGGCAUCCGCACAACUGGGGGCUUUGUCCAGUGGGGUCCUCGUUCUCUCUCCAGUUGGGCCUGAGCAGAGCACUGCCUUAUGCACAGCUCUUGGCCAUGCUCAGGCCACCUUCCCUGGCCGCUUGGCUGUCUAGCCUCUCCUCCCACCUGCUGGUGUGCUAAUUGGUGCACACCAGCACACACACAAGCUGGCCAUCUCUCUCCUAUUCCCCUCAUCACCCACCAGCACCCUGGCCUCUCGCCAGCGGUAUUGGUGCCAGCACUCUGAAGGACAGGAUGCAGACUGCCCUGUCUGGGACUUAACACACGCUAUCAUUUGAUGUAUUCUGAUGGGCUAGUUUUUGUUCGUUUUUACUGUAUAUUUAUAGUAAUAAAAUCAUGCAGCAUUA